AGCAGCCGCGGUAAUUCCAGCUCCAAUAGCGUAUAUUAAAGUUGUUGCAGUUAAAAAGCUCGUAGUUGAAUUUUUGAUUCUGCCAAUUGGUCCAUCUUUUAGAUGAGUACUGGUUGUGUGGGGUCUAUCCGCCUGGUAAUACGUAAUGUCCUUUAUUGGAUGUUGCGGGUAGUCAGGACCUUUACCUUGAAAAAAUUAGAGUGUUUAAAGCAGGCUUAUGCCGGAAUACAUUAGCAUGGAAUAAUAGAAUAGGACGAAGUUGUUUUAUUUUGUUGGUUUCUAGGACAACCGUAAUGAUUAAUAGGGAUAGUUGGGGGCAUUAGUAUUCAAUUGUCAGAGGUGAAAUUCUUGGAUUUAUUGAAGACUAACUACUGCGAAAGCAUUUGCCAAGGAUGUUUUCAUUAAUCAAGAACGAAAGUUAGGGGAUCGAAGACGAUCAGAUACCGUCGUAGUCUUAACCAUAAACUAUGCCGACUAGGGAUCGGGCGAUGUUGUUUCCAUGACUCGCUCGGCACCUUAUG
rnacentral:rRNA from 1 species